GGGGAUUUAGCUCAGCGGUAGAGUGCUUGCCUAGCAAGCACAAGGCCCUGGGUUCAGUCCCCA
rfam:Rattus norvegicus chromosome 5, whole genome shotgun sequence.